UGCUUACACAUGCAAGUCGAACGGUGAAGCAGGAGCUUGCUCUUGUGGAUCAGUGGCGAACGGGUGAGUAACACGUGAGCAACCUGCCCCGGACUCUGGGAUAAGCGCUGGAAACGGCGUCUAAUACUGGAUACGAGUAGCGACCGCAUGGUCAGCUAUUGGAAAGAAUUUCGGUCUGGGAUGGGCUCGCGGCCUAUCAGCUUGUUGGUGAGGUAAUGGCUCACCAAGGCGUCGACGGGUAGCCGGCCUGAGAGGGUGACCGGCCACACUGGGACUGAGACACGGCCCAGACUCCUACGGGAGGCAGCAGUGGGGAAUAUUGCACAAUGGGCGCAAGCCUGAUGCAGCAACGCCGCGUGAGGGAUGACGGCCUUCGGGUUGUAAACCUCUUUUAGUAGGGAAGAAGCGAAAGUGACGGUACCUGCAGAAAAAGCGCCGGCUAACUACGUGCCAGCAGCCGCGGUAAUACGUAGGGCGCAAGCGUUAUCCGGAAUUAUUGGGCGUAAAGAGCUCGUAGGCGGUUUGUCGCGUCUGCUGUGAAAUCUGGGGGCUCAACCCCCAGCCUGCAGUGGGUACGGGCAGACUAGAGUGCGGUAGGGGAGAUUGGAAUUCCUGGUGUAGCGGUGGAAUGCGCAGAUAUCAGGAGGAACACCGAUGGCGAAGGCAGAUCUCUGGGCCGUAACUGACGCUGAGGAGCGAAAGGGUGGGGAGCAAACAGGCUUAGAUACCCUGGUAGUCCACCCCGUAAACGUUGGGAACUAGUUGUGGGGUCCAUUCCACGGAUUCCGUGACGCAGCUAA
rnacentral:rRNA from 1 species